rnacentral:rRNA from 3 species
CCCGCUGAACUUAAGCAUAUCAAUAAGCGGAGGAA